rnacentral:rRNA from 1 species
UACGGAGGAUGCAAGCGUUAUCCGGAAUUAUUGGGCGUAAAGAGUCCGUAGGUGGCGAUUCAAGUCUGCUGUUAAAGACCAGAGCUUAACUCGGGACAAGCGGUGGAAACUGAAAAGCUAGAGUUCGGGAGGGGUAGAGGGAAUUCCCAGUGUAGCGGUGAAAUGCGUAGAGAUUGGGAAGAACACCAGUGGCGAAGGCGCGCUACUGGACCGAAACUGACACUGAGGGAGGAAAGCGAGGGGAGCGAAAGGG